rnacentral:rRNA from 1 species
GACGAACGCUGGCGGCGUGCCUAAUACAUGCAAGUAGAACGCACAGUUUAUACCGUAGCUUGCUACACCAUAGACUGUGAGUUGCGAACGGGUGAGUAACGCGUAGGUAACCUGCCUGGUAGCGGGGGAUAACUAUUGGAAACGAUAGCUAAUACCGCAUAAUAUUAAUUAUUGCAUGAUAAUUAAUUGAAAGGUGCAAUUGCACCACUACCAGAUGGACCUGCGUUGUAUUAGCUAGUAGGUGAGGUAACGGCUCACCUAGGCGACGAUACAUAGCCGACCGGAGAGGGUGAGCGGCCACACUGGGACUGAGACACGGCCCAGACUCCUACGGGAGGCAGCAGUAGGGAAUCUUCGGCAAUGGACGAAAGUCUGACCGAGCAACGCCGCGUGAGUGAAGAAGGUUUUCGGAUCGUAAAGCUCUGUUGUAAGAGAAGAACGGGUGUGAGAGUGGAAAGUUCACACUGUGACGGUAUCUUACCAGAAAGGGACGGCUAACUACGUG